CUCUCUGCUGCAGCUCACACAGCUGCUCACACGUGUGUCUGCUGUGUGGUGUUCAGAGCGUUGUUUACUCUCUGAACUCUCGCCCUUUGGGUCUUGGUUUGGGUUGAAGAUAUUAAGUUUUCUUGACAUACCUGGGACCUUGAGAUGCUCUUUCUGCUCAGCAGCUCAACUGACUCUGAAAAUAACACAUGAAGAGGAAUUGAGACACCUGACCCAUGGUCCUGGCUAACUUCCUAAUUGGCAUCUUUGAACGGGUUCCUGGAGCUGAGCAACCAGGCUCAUCUGGGUUCAGGAUUGCUCAGCCAGGGACGUCUGGGGAUCUCCCAUGGCGCGUCCAGCACUUCCUCAGUGGAACUCGAAGACAGAGUGCUUUCCUGUUUGACUCAUGUGCAAGAGGAAAUUCCGGCAUUUUCUCAACCACCUGUUCUUUGCAGCGUUGGGCGAUGAAUGCAACCCAAAUAAUACACCAUUGUAUCAUCCGUUGUGAGCUGAUGACAUCAUAAGGCACAAUAACAAGAACACCAGAACCUCAAAGUCUUCCCAGCAACAGACCAGUCCCUAUUAAAAUGCCUGUCUUUUUAGCUUCCAA
rnacentral:lncRNA from 1 species